AUCUGUCUCUUUGGCCCUUUCUACUUUUCUUAUUUUUUCAUUAAAUUAAAUUUUAUUAAACAAUAAUUCCCCAUUAACUUUUUAUAAUUUACUUAGAAUUAACACUUAACAUUUACAAAGUAAAUAUUCUUAUUGAAUCAAUCAAAAUCAAUUUACAAGUAAAAUGUGGUGGGUCAAUUUUUUAAAUUCAAAUAUAGAUAUUAAAUCUAGUUUUGGGAGGACAUGUAGCUCCAACUCUUUGAAAUUAUGAGUUAAGAUAAAAAUAAUAUUUUGUUAACUAAAAUAAGAUAAUAAAGCAACUUGUCAAUAAAUUAAAUAACUCUAACAAGAAAUUUAAAUAUUUUUUAUAUACAUUACAUGUAUAAUUAUUGACGAGUAAGAUCAACAAGAGAAGAGACACAAAGAAAGGAGUACCGGUUGACUCAAUAUGGGUGAAGAGCCGAAGGAGUUAAGUGUACAAAGGAGAUUGGGAUUACAAGGAAUUGUGCUGAGGAGUGAUGACAAUAAAGGAAACUUGAAUGCUUGAGGAUCGAUUAGUUUUUCAUUGUGCUGGGGUAUUUAUAGAGGAGAGGUUUAGUGUUUGGUGACAUUGAUGUGGUAAUCCUACUAUCAUGCCAUCAUUGCAGGACAUAUGAAGACAUUUGUGAUGAGACACAUUCUGUCAUUCAUUUUAAACUACGGUGUAAAGUGAUUAAAUCCACCUGAGAAGAAAAGCAAGAGUGAAGUGAAAACUUUUCAUAGGAAGCAGGAGGUGGUUGGAAUCUUAAUUUUUUGAGUUAUCAAUCUUUUGCUGAUUGACUAAUAAAUAAUAAGCAGAAAAAUGUGUUAUGAGUAACUUGUUGUGCUACCUUGCGUCCGAAGCUGAAGGGAUAUAAUAAUAUUUCAUUAAAAUCGAAUUAUAAUAAUUUAUAUAAAAAUUAAAAUAAACACCAAAACAACUUAAAAGAAAAAAUUAGGACACAAUGAAAUAUAUCAAAACGUAGAAAUAAAAAAUGAAUAAGAAAAGACAAAGAACUUAACAAAAGAAGAACAUGUGUGGGGUAACAUUUACAGUACUAGCUACAAUGUCAUGUAUCCUACUUGAACACUUGUCGGUCAGUUGUAGUACUAGAUAAAUUGUCUUAAUUUUAUUGUGAUUUACAUAUAAAAAUUAAAAUAUUAUUAGGAAAAAGAAAAGAAAAUAUAAGGUACGUGGCAAGCAUAGAUUAGUGGAGGCUGAAGUGGACGCAGAACAAAUUAGUUCCACUCACAAUGUAAUAAUUGGGCCCAGAAAAGCAAGUAAUGGAAGUAGGUGGAUGAGUUUGGUUCACAGGAGCGGGAGAAUGGGGAUAAACGACGUGUGGUUUAACUCACCUUUUGGGUUUUGCGAAGACAAAUCACGGUGGAGGGGUCACUCUCUUCUUGCCUUUCAAUAAAUAUAUUUAUGUUUCUCCAACCUCAUUAUACAGUUAUUUUAUUAAACUAACCUAAAAAAAUUUGAUAUUUAUAAAAGUGACUCAAGUUUAAAAAUAAUCAUCAAAAUAACUUAAAAUAAACAGUAAAAAAAGGUUUUGACCUGUCAAUGACCGGCACCACUUGAUAUUUUAGACCCAUGAUUGCUUGAUGAUUGUGUUAGACUUUAAAAAAUUAAAUUUUUUGGUUCUGGCCUGUCAAUGGGCGGCACCAGUGUAUUUUUUUAAAAUAAUAUCAUAUUGGUAUACACAAAACAAAAAAAAAGAAAAAAUUUUGGUGCUGGCCUGUCAAUGGUCGGCACCAACACAAAAAAAAGAAAAAAAAACUUUGGUACUGGCCUGACCAAAAAAAAAAAUUUCUUUUUCUUGUUGGUGCCGGCCAUUGACAGGCCAGCACCAAAAUUUUUUUUUCCUUUUUUUGUUUUGUGUAUACCAAUAUGAUAUGAUUUUAAAAAAAUACACUGAUGCCGGCCAUUGACAGGCCAGAGCCAAGAAAUUCAAUUUUUUAAAAUUUGACACAAUCAUCAGACAAUCAUAGGUCUAAAAUACCAGGUGGUGUCGGCCAUUGAUAAGACAAAACCCUUUUUUACUAUUCAUUUUAGGUUAAUUUGGUGAUUAUUUUUAAACCUGAAUUAUUUUUACAAAUAUUAAAUUUUUUUGAGCCAGUUUGAUAAAAUAGCCUCAUUAUACCCUUUUGAUUCAUUGCAUCUCUCUCUCUCAAUACCUAUUUUUACUAUUCCCUCGAUUCCCCACACCCAAGCUGAAAGUUUAGUUAUGUUUAUUUUUUUACAUCGAUUAGAAGUAAUAAAACAAUCCUAGUAAAAUAUAUUAUAUUUUUAAAGACUUGAUACUAGUUUAAAUUUUAAUAAUAUUAUUAUUAAAAGAAACCAUUAUAAAUCUCAAAAGAAUUAGGAUAUCUUUGAUUAACCAUUUAGUACCAUUUUUCGUCAUGCAAAUGGUUGUUUCAAAAAUUGGCUAAAGCUUUGAUCCCCAAUGGAGUAAACGCCGGUCUGAAGGCAUAAUUUCCAUUUUACCUUUUAACUCUAUUAUUAUAAUAUUAUUUUUAACAUAAAAAUAAUUAAAAUAAUUAUUUAAUAUCAACUUUUUAAUGGAUUGAAAUAUAGUGUUUUUUUUAUUCUUUAAAAAAUGUAUAAUGUUUUUAUUUGUUAAAAUAAUAUUUAGCAUUGUUAUAAAAAUUUGAUUAACAUUAAACACUAAUUAAAUAUUAUUUAUCAUUUAAUAUAAUCAAUAAUUUUAAAUGAUUAUAAAAUAAAUAAUUAAAAUAUUUAUAAAAAUAUUGUGAUACAUAUUAUUUUAUUAAAUAAAAUUAAAAUUUCACAUGUUUUUAAUAAUUUUAUAAAAAUAAAAUAUUUUAGUCAUUUUCUAUCAUUUCUAAUAUAAUGUCCUUAAUAGUCAUUUUCUAUUCUCACAUUACCACUAUAGUUGCGUUUGAAUCCAAACACACACCCCACAGUUGUUUCUAAUCUCGCUGAUAUAAUAUCCAAUCUCAUCGCUACAGUAAUUAAUCUCACUAUCACCACUGUUUUUAACUUCACCGGAGGUAAACGCACCGUCCAUCCAAACGAAGCCUCUUCAUAAAUCGUAAAAUAAACAUAAAAGAUAUCUUAAUAAGUGUUGAAUGUAGUAAUAAAUCAUAUUGCAUUCUUAAAAAGAAAACUCAAGUAGUAAAGAGAAAAAAAGGAACAUGAAAUAUAGUGAAGCUAAGGAAAUGAUGGCAUUAUGCAAUUUUUUUACUUGAAUAGGUAAAAUUAGUAAAAAAAAAUCAUAGCAAUUUUAGCAUUUUUGUUCUUGAUACAUGCACAGAUAAGAUGAAAUUUAUUAAAUUAAAUUUCAUUUACUAAAGCUGUCAAUUUUGCAGGUUUGGGAAAUCAAUAGGCUUGCGAUAACUUUUUGGAUGAGAUCCAGGAAUUUCUAGGUUGAGAUGUCUUAUAGAGUUCGAAGAUCUAUCUCUUAGCUUCGAAACACACUUUGAAUCACUCGAUUUCGAGUUCAAGAGCUCAAGUUAAGACCAAUUUAAUGAAGACUAUACAAGUAGAAUUUCUGGACAGAUUAAUACAAAAAAUUACGAGUUUCGGGCUUUUAAUUCGAGUUUAAAUCAUAUUGGGUUCAAUUUUUGUGCUUACUUUUUAUUAUAUAUGAGCCUAAUAUUGUAUUUAUUAGAUUUUAUUAUUUUAUUAUUUAUUCCGAAUUUUGGAUAUUGUUUAAGUAUUUUAAGUUGUUUAGAAGUUUGUGUUUCUUAGUCGAACAAGAAAGUUUAGUUUAAACUUACUUCUUAUUCAGAUUAAUUAGAGUUUUAGUAUACUUUAGAGUUUUAUUUGGAUGUACUUAGCUAGCCUAUAUAAAGGCUUAUUCAUUGUUCAUAAGGGGAGACAAUUGUUUUCAUUAAUGAAUUUCCACGACUCCUUGAAGAAACAAACUCCCAAAGUUGAAAACUUUAUUAAUGAAAUCAAUCGUCUCCCCUAAUGAACAAUGAAUAAGCUUUUAUAUAGGUUAGUGAUGGGGUAGGACCCUUUUCUGAUAUUUGAAAUUGCAUUGCAUUGCAUUCAUAAGCAUAUGCAUAAUGGUGAACAUUGAGAUGUUGUGAUAAUGAGAUGAAUUGAAAAAUUAAUAUUCUGAAAUUAAAAUUGUGAAUUCUGUGAUACUAUUGAUGAUUAAUUUGAGAAACCGAUUCUUUGAUUUGCUAUUUGAUUGUGAUUAUACUAUGCGUUAUUAUUUAACAUGCCUUACCGACUGUUUGCAUUGAUUCUAUUGUGAAUGAACUCACACUGAGCGUCAUAGCUUACUCCCCAUUGUUCUCCAUCUUUAUAGAAAACCUACCAAGUUAGGACGUGGACAUGGCAUUCGGAGGGACUCGCUCAGUUUUGUCUAUUAUACAAUUUUAGAUUUAUUAUUUGAAAUUUUCCGUUAUUCAAAAGCCGUAAUGUUUUAUUUAAGCUGUGGCAUGAGACUUAAGUUUUUUUUAGGGAUUAUUUAGCUUGCAUGACCUUUAAUUUUGAUUAGGUUAUGAAAAUUAGGGAAUUUAAUUAUUUAUGCUUGAAGUUCAGCUUCUAUUAAAACUAAGAUUAGGUAUAAAUUUAUCCGUUGCUAGAUUAUAAAUUUUUAAGUAUUAAAUAAAUUGUAAAUUAUUAUAUAGAAAGGUUAAGUUAAAUCGGUUUUUGAAAAGCCUGUAAACUUUUUUCUGAAAAUAGACUAAAAUUUUCUACCAAAAUAAACUAAUGUUUUAAAAUAACUAUUUUAUAAACUCCAAUCGCUUAUAGGCCAUUUCGGUGGCCAAUGUAAUCUCCUAAAUUUGGGUCUAACAUCUAUGUCGAGUUAGGGAGGUUAUAUCUGUGGUAUCAGAACCAGGUUUAUAAAAACUCGGACUGUAGACAUUUUAAUAAGUCUGCAUGCAUGCAUGCAUGCAUCAAAAAGGGGUAUUUUGGGAAAACCCAUGCCACAAGUUUUGGAAAUUAAUUUUUUCUGCAAGAAAUUAAAUCCAAGAUUCUUAUACUGGUCCUACUUUAGUCAAUGUCACUCUUGAAAUUGUAGAUAAACUGUGAUUGUUAGACUGUAAAUGCUCAAGAAAUAGCUAAUGCUUGAACCCCUUUGUUUGGAACUUAUAGAUACCAUUUAAAUCCUAGAUUUUUGAGAGAUCACUAUGAACAGCCAAGGUAGAAGAGGAAGGUGUAGGCCGCUUAGGGCUGCAACCAUAGAGCCACCCACUGUUCAGGGUGAGAACCUGAUUCUUGAAGAGGAGUACGUUGAAAAUUCUAUUGCCAAUACCCUUUUGAUUCAUUGCAUCUCUCUCUCUCUCUCAAUGCCUAUUUUUACUAUUCCCUCAAUUCUCCACACACAUGCUAAAAGUUUAGUUAUGUUUAUUUUUUUUACAUGGAUUAAAAGUAAUAAAACAAUCCUAGUAACAUAUAUUGUAUUUUUAAAGAGAUAAUACUGGUUCAAAUUUUGGAAACAACAGGAACAAUUGUAAAUCUCAAAAGAAUUAGUAUCCCUUUGAUUAACCGUUUAAUGCCAUUGUGAUGUGUUUAGAACCAUUUUCCCCUCAAUUGUCGUGCAAAUGGUUGUUUCAAAAAUUUGUUGAAGGAUUGAUCACUAAUGGAGCAAACGCAGGUCCGAAGGGGUAAUUUCCAUUUUACCCCUUUCACCUUUUAACUCUAUUAUUAUAAUAUUAUUUUUAACAUAAAUAUAAUUUAAAUUAUUAUUUAAUAUCAAACUUUUAAUGGAUUCAAAUAUAGUGUUUUUAUUCUUUAAAAAAUGUAUAAUGUUUUUAUUUGUUAAAAUAAUAUUUAGCAUUGUUAUAAAAAUUUGAUUAACAUUAAAAACUAAUUAAAUAUUAUUUAUCAUUUAAUAAUAAAUAAUUUUAAAUUAUUAUAAAACAAUUAAUUAAAAUAUUUAUAAAAAUAUUGUUAUACAUAUAAUUUUAUUAAAUAAAAUUAAAAUUUCACAUGUUUUUAAUAAUUUUAUAAAAAUAAAAUAUUUUAGUCAUUUUCUAUCAUUUCUAAUCUAAUGUCCUUUGUAGUAGGCCAAUUUGCCCGGGCCCAAAAUCACAGAGAAAUAAAAAACCAAAAAAUUAAUUAAAUGUUCAUUUUACAUAUAUGCGGCCCAGUUACAAAAUAAACUAAAUACCCAAAAUAAAAACAAGCCUAGCUAAACCCAAAUACAUCAGACCCGACUAACUAAGCCCAAAUCCGAAUACGUGUGGCCCAACACCAAAGAAAAAAAAACCUAGGCUGCCAGCCCUAGCACGAGCGCCGCAACAGCUUCCAGCGCCGUUUUCCCGCAUGCGCUCCUUCGCAAGGGCGCCACCGCUACGUGCAACGCCUCCAUGCGCUCGCGUCCCUGCCACGUCCUCGUACCAUACCUGCAAAACAAUAGAGCAACAACGCAAAAAAGGCAGACAACAGCAAGAAAAAAUACAAAAAGAAUAGGAGAUUUUUCUGUAGUUUUCCUUUUUAUUUUUAUUUUUUUCUUCAUUUCGGCUAUAUAGGCCAUUAAACUGAAUCUGUAAAAGGGGGGAUCUUCUUUUUUUACAGGCAUAUUGUAUCAAAAAAUACAUCUUAGAAUAUCGGAAAGAAGAACAACAAAGGUUGAUUUUUUCGAUCUAUUUACUCGUCGUUUUUUUAUUUUUUUAUUUUAUUUUUAUUCUGUUUUAUGAAUCUGUUAAAUAAAAAGAAGAUGAAAAAGAAAAAGAAAGAGAUUUAGGAGUGAAAACGUACCUGGUGACGAGAUCCUGGCCCUCUCCGUCGUCAUCGGAGCGUGGGCUAGGUGCAGAAACCGUGCAAAUACCCUCCGUACAGAGCGGCGCUAAGAGGGGAGCGUUCGGAUUUUUUUAGUUUUUUUAAGUUCCGUUUUGCAAAAUGAAAAGAUGUUUGCUUAGAUUAGGGUUUGUUUCAGUUUUAUAUAGCAAGAAAUGGCGUCGUUUGAGGCCGAGUUCCAGUGGCCUCAAAACGGAGCCAUAUAAGGCAAUACCCGCGUGCUCAACCCGACCCGCCUAGGAUCCACGCGAUUUUGGACCGGAGGGGUUAUUUGCGCCCUCAGUCCUUCCGCGUUUGAGGCCGUUUACAAUUGGGUCCUAUCCCCUUUUGUCAUUUGUUUUAAUUUUGCCCCAGGUAUCCUUUUUUCUUGCGAUUUGGUCCAUAGACCUUUUGCACUGACCAUGCUAGAACGGUGCCGUUUUCUGUGCUUGGGUUUGGUUUAUUUAUUCUUGCGUUUAAUGCCGUUUUGGUCCCCUAUGAAAUACGCACAUUCCAUUUUGGUUCUUUAUUUUUAUUUUAUUUUCUGAUUUUCCUUAUGAUUUUGGUUUUGAAUCUGAUUUAAUCCAUGGUUUAAUUUAUUCAUUCUCUAAAUUUUAUUUUGAUUUUGUUGUCUUUAGUAUAUAUUUAGUUGUAAACCUAGCAUUUUUUUUAUUUAUUUAAGUUUUAAUACUGUUUUAAAUUUAUCAUUAGAAUUAUUUAAAAUAUAAUACUAUUAUUUUAAACUAAUAUUAUCUAUACGUACCAUACAUAGUUAAUUUAAUUAUAAUUUUAAAUGUAUUAUGAAUUUCUACUUAAGUUUUAUAAUUAAUAUUUCUUUUAUAUUUAUCUAAUAUAGUUUGUACAUCCUAUAACUUCAUAAUAUUUUCAAACUUUCUUUUUUCAUCCAAAUAUAAAGUUAUGUGUUGAUACUUUCAUGUAUGUAAUCUUAACUUAUUUUGAAAUAUAUAUUUGUAUAUAUGUUUUAAAUCUUAUAUACAAUCCAUUUCUUUUAAAAUACUACCUUAUAGACUUUACUUACUUCAAUUUUUGUACAUAUAUUGCCAUACAUAUACUAUUAUAAUUUUUUUUAUUUUGUAUGUAUUGUUUAUUUAAACUAACGUAUACAUUAUUUUGAGUUCCUUUUCGUAAAAUACUUAUUUUAAGAUUUAUUUUUAUAUUAUUUCAUAUAGUAUUCCUUUUAACCUUUUGAUAUAUUUCAAUAUUCAUUUUGUUUUAGUCGAAAACUUAUUAUAUUUUAUCUAUGUUAUUCCACUUGGCAUUUCUUUUAAGAUUGACUCUUUAAUUCAUUUUACUUGCUUAUAUGGAUGUAAGUAUUUGCAUAACAUAGGAUAUAAAAUUUUUGCUCUUGUGUUUAUAAUAUUGUUUAUUUGUGUAUAUUGAAUCUUUGUUACACAUUUGCGUAUGCUUUAGUGUAUGAAUUUAUUUCGCGUUGUACGUUAUUAUUCGAUCGUUUUUUUUAAAAGAUUACAAAUGUCGAAGUUAUCUCAUGCAAAAGUUUUCAAAUCUUCAAAAUACUCGAAGUUUGGAAUCCUCGAAAGAAUUGUACCCUAACUUACUAGGUUCCAAUUUUUCUCGACGAAUUUAGUUAGCCACGUGCUUAUUUUAUUAAAACCGUCCAAUUUUAAAACGAAGCAUCUAGGAUUUCAGAAUGUUGGAUCCUAACUUACUGAAUGUGACAUUCUGUUAUCUCGAUUUUAAAAUAAAGACAAUGCUUGAUGUUUAGGAAUUUCGAGAAAUUGAACCCUAACUCACUGGAUUUUAAUUUCUCGUUAGACUUAAAUGACCAAAUGACCUUCUCAAAAUACAUGGAUUAUAAAAAAGACAUAUUUAAUUUCAAAGAUCGAAUUGUUGCACCCUAACUCACUGAGUGUAGCAAUUUAUUUCUUCAAAAUGAGUCCGUCUAUUAUUCAAUUUGGUUUAUUCAAAUUUUCUUUUAAAAGGAUCAUAUUUUAAAAUCUUUUCAAAAAUUCGACAUUAAGACAUUAAACAAUCAAUUCAGUACCAAUUUUGGGCGUCACGAGGGAGCUAACCCUUCCUUGUGCGUAACCGACUCCCGAACCUAUUUUCUCAAAAUUCGCAGACCUAAAAUUAUUUUCAAGGUGAUCCGAUCACACCUCAUCAAAAAGGAUCGGUGGCGACUCCCAUUUCCAUUUUCAAAAUCGCUCCCCAUUUUUAGAAAUUUGAAAAAUGGUGUCAACAUCCUUAAUAGUCAUUUUCUAUUCUCACCUCAUCGCUAUAGUUGCGUUUGAAUCCAAACGCACACCCCAUCAUUGUUUUUAAUCUCAUUGCUAUAAUAUUCAAUCUCAUCGCUACAGUAACUAAUAUCACUGUCACCGCUGUUUUUAAGCUCACCGAAGGUAAACUCAUUGCCCAUUCGAACGAAGCCUCUCCAUAAACUGUAAAAUUAACAUACAAGAUAUCUUAAUAAGUGCUGAAUGUAGUAAUAAAUCAAAUCACAUUAUUAAAAAGAGAACUCAAGUAGUAAAGAGAAAAAAAAGGAACAUGAAAGAGAGUAAAGAGAAGGAACUGAUGGUAUUAUGCAAUUUUUUACCUGAAUAGUUAAAAUUAGUAUAAAAAAAAUCGCAACAAUUUUAGCAUUUUUGUUCUUGAUACAUGUACAGAUGAGGUGAAAUUUAUUAAUUUCGAUUCACUAAAGCUGUCAAUUUUGCAAGUUUGGGAAAUCAGCAGAUUUUCGAUGACUUUUUGGAUGAGAUCCAAGAAUUUCUAGGUUGACCAUGGAAUUCGAAGAUCUAUCUCUUAUCUUCGAAACACAAUUUGAAUCACUUGAUUUCGAGUUUGGAAGCUCAAGUUAUGACCAUUUUGAUAAAGACUGCGCGAGCAGAAUUUCUGGAUAGGAUUAUUACGGAAAUAACAAGUUUCGGGCCUUUAAUUCGAGUUUAAAUCUUAUUGGGUUCAAUUUUUGUGCUUAAUUUUUAUUAUAUAUGAGCCUAAUAUUGUAUUUAUUAGAUUUUAUUAUUUUAUUAUUUAUUCCAAAUUUUGGAUAUUAUUUAAGUAUUUUAAGUUGUUUAGGAGUUUUUGUUUCUUAGUCGAACAAGAAAGUUUAGUUUAAAACUACUUCUUAUUUAAAUUAAUUAGAGUUUCAGUAUACUUUAGAAUUUUAUUUGGAUGUACGUAGCUAGCCUAUAUAACCUAUAUAAAGUCUUGUUCAUUGUUCAUUAGGGGAGACGAUUGUUUUCAUUAAUGAAUUCUCACGACUCCUUGAAGAAAACAAACUCCUAGAGUUGAAAACUUUAUGAAAGAAAUCAAUCGUCUCCCUUAAUGAACAACGAAUAAGCAUUUAUAUAGGUUAGCGAUGGGGUACAACCCUAUUUUGAUAAUUGAAAUUGCAUUACAUUCAUAAGCAUAUGCAUAAUGGUGAACAUUGAGAUGUUGUGACAAUGAGAUGAAUUGAAAAAUCAAUAUUCUGAAAUUACAAUUGUGAAUUCUAUGAUACUUUUGAGAAAUCGAUUCUCUAAUUUGCUAUUUGAUUGUGAUUAUACUAUGCGUUAUUAUUUAAUAUGUUUUACCGACUGUUUGCACUGAUUCUCUUGUGAAUGAACUCACACUAAGCGUCAUAGCUCACUCCCCUUUAUUCUUCAUCUUUACAGAUAACCUACCAAGUUAGGACGCGGACAUAGCAUUCGGAGGGACUUGGCUCAGUUUUGUCUAUUAUACAAUUUUAGAUUUAUUAUUUGAAAAUUUUGGCUAUUAAAAAACUAUAAUGUUUUGUUUAAGCUGUGGCAUGAGACUUAAUAUUUUUUAGGGAUUAUUCAGUAUGCAUGACCUUUAAAUUUGAUUAGGUUAUGAAAAUUAGGGAAUUUAAUUAUCUAUGCAUGAAGUUCAGCUUCUAUUAAAACUAAGAUUAGGCCUCAAUUUAUUCGUUGCUAGAUCAUAAAAUUUUAAGUAUUAAAUAAACCGAAAAUUAAUUACGUUUUCAAAAUUUAGUCAUUAUUAUGUAGAAAAGUUAAGUUAAAUCGAUUUUUGAAAAGCCUAUAAACUUUUUCUGAAAAUAAACUAAAGUUUUCUACCAAAGUAAACUAAUGUUUUGAAAUGAUUGUUCUAUAAACCCCAAUCGCUUCUAGGCCAUUUCAGUGACCAAUGUAAUCUCCCAAAUUCGGGUCUAACGUCUAGGCCGAGUUAGAAAGGUUACAUCUGGUAGUACCAGAGCCCGAUUUACAAUAACUCAGACUGUGCAAAUUUGAAUAAGUCUGUAUGCAUGCAUAAAAAAAGGUAUUUUGGGAAAAUUAUGCCACAAGUUGUGGAAAUUGAUUUUUUAUACAGGAAAUUAAAUCUGAGACUCCGAUGUCGGUCCUACUUUAGUCACUGUCACUCUUGAAGCUGUAAAUAAACUGUGAUUGUUAGACUGUAAAUACUCAGGAAAUAGCUAAUAAUUGAAUCCUAUUGUUUGGAACCUGCCGAUACCCUUUAAAUCCUAAAUUUUUGAGAGAUCACUAUGAACACCUAAGGUAGACGAGGAAGGUGUAGGUCACGUAGGGCUGAAAUCGUAGAGCCACCCACUAUUCAGGGCGAGAACUUGAUUCUUGAGGAGGAGUACGUUGAAAAUUCUACUUCCAAUAGUGGUGGAGGCUAUGAGAACAAUGAUGAUGUCGUGACACAAACAAUGUUAGGAGUGUUGCAAAGGGUUGCUAGAGCCCAAAUUGGAACGGGGAUUUGUGGAUAUGUUGUGGAGAGACUCCGUUCGAAUGAGACUGAAACAUUUAAAGGUAUUAUUGGGACGAUUCCUACCGUAGCUGAAUAUUGGAUAGAGUCGACGAAGAGGAUUUUUGAGGAUCUAGAUUGUACUCUAGAACAAAAACUAAAGGGAACCGUGUCCUUGUUACAGAAAGGGGCCUAUCGUUGGUGGCAGUCUGUUGAAAGAGGUAUGCAGGCUAAACGUAUAACCUAAAAAUAUUUCCAAGAGGCCUUCCAAAAGAAAUAUGUGAGCACUAGGUAUGUGGAAGCCUGCAAACUCGAAUUUAUCGAGUUAAAAUAGGAAGAUAAGACUGUGUCAAAAUAUGAGGCUAAAUUUCUGAGGCUCAACCGUUAUGCCCAAAGUUUGGUCACCACGAAGCAGGAUAAGUGCAUAAGGUUCGAAAAUGGGCUACAAUACUACCUCAAAAUACAAGUUACUUUACACCAGACACCAGGAACGGGUGUUUGAGACCCUAGUGAAAAAAAAAACCAAAAUUGUGGAAGAGAUCAAAUAAGUGGAACAUGAAAAACGGGAGAAGAGCAAGGCUCUGGUAAAGAGAGAUUCUAGUUCCACUGGUUUUAAAACUCAUCCCAUCAAAUGAGUCAAGGAGGGUAGAUCGCAGCAUGGGGUUGCUACAACUAAUCCUAGGGGUAAUACUCCUAAUUUUACGUAUUGUGAGAAACACUAUUUGGGCGAGUAAAGGAAAUCGAGGGUUUUAUCUGCAAAUAUUUUUGUCACGCCCCAAAAUAUAGGGGGUUAGUUGUAAUGGAUGACAAGAAUUGAAUUAAGGCUUAAUGGUUAAGUGUUAGAGAGUCUUUCCUAGAGAUCUAGGUUCGCACUCCUUUCUUCCCAUUUUAUUAUUUUCGACAAACUAGGAAAAAGUCACACCCCGAAAUAAAUAUAUAUAGUUGAUAAAUAAGUUAAGCAGGAAACAGGCUUCAGACCUAAUGGUUAAGAGUUAUUUCCCCUCCAUUGUGAUCCCAGGUUUGAACCCCUCCUUCCUAUCUUAUUUUGGGAAUUUGGCAAGUCUCUCGAAAAGAAAAGAUUUUAUAAUUAAGUGUCUAAAUUAGGCAAGAAAUGAGCUAUGGGCUUAAUGGCUCAAGCACUAGUAUUCCUCUAAGUGACCCGAGUUCAAGCUAUUCCUGUCCCUUUUUAUUUCGUAAUUUCACCAAAUACACCCCAAAACAUAUGUAUAAGAUUAAACAUAAAAAAUAAACAAGGAAUGAGAAAUAGGCUUAAUGGUUAUAGCGUUAGUUAUUCUUGAAGCUAAGGUUCGAGCCUCUUCUUCCCCCUUCAUUUUAAAUUCAAGUUCGACAAAAAUUUGAGAAAUUUGCAUGUGACGUCCCUAGGGGUAAACCCUAGAAAUUUAACCAAUUUUCUUUUAAUUAGAAUUCAUAUAUUGCCCUUCCUCAAAACUCCAGUAGAAUCAGAGUUCCACCAUAUUUUUCUUAUUUUUUCUAAUUAGAUUUUCAUACUCCAUUUUCAAAUCCUAAUAGAAUUUACUCUCCAUAUUUCUAUUUCUUCUUUAUUUAUUUUCUUUCUCUUUUCUUUACACCAUAUUUUCAUUCUAAUUGUUCAUAAUAAUUUUAUUUUCCCGAAUCAAAUAAUCUUCUAUUCAAUCAUUCUUUCUAUCAGUUUUGUAAUUACUAUCAAUAGCAUGCCUAUUCUUACCAAGAAUUGGUAAGUACAUCUCGUUUCCAGUGUUUAGAUCCUGAAUUUUCAUAAUAUUACUAUCUGAAUCUAAUCUUACGUUCGACUAAUUAAUCUUUUAUGGUUCUUGCCAAAUCUUUUGUUAAUCUUGUCAAAUCUUGAAACCAACCAUUAAUUCGUGUGUAAAUUUCAUUUGAAUAAUUGAAUUUAGGUGAAUCAAAUCAGAAUCGGGCGUGAGGAACAUCGAUCAGACCCCCGAUGAAAGGUGUUCUAUCCCAAGUGAAUCGAUGAUGAUUGUGUGUAGGAUUAGGGCCACACGGUCUCCCACACAAGCGUAUGGACCACACGGUCAUCAUACGGCCAUGUGCCUCUAUAAAUCCUAGGCUAGUUCGUGAACCACACGGCCACAACUCAUCCAAAUGGGCUGCCACACGGUCGUGCCUCUCUUGUAGGGUAAUUUUAACGUUUACCACACAAGCAUAGUUUGUUACACGGCCUGGCCACACGGUCGUGUAACCCUUCCACAUGGCCUAUAGCUUCUCACACGACUGAGUGUCCCCUAUUUUAUAAUUUUUCCUAGAAAUUUGUAAAAUAUUCAAUUUUGUCCCUAAAUAGUCCCCAAACUAUUUUUAGUGUUUUAUUUUAUUCAAAUGAGUCUUCCAUAAUGUGAAUAAUUUGGAAUUCAUGAUCUGAUUAAAUGAAUUAUUACUAUAUAUGCAUGAUAUGAAAAUGUUACAUGUCUACUAUCACUAUAUUUUUGAUAAACAAUUGUUGUUACGCUUACCAUUGUAUUAUUGAUGCAUGUUCAACAUGUUUACUAUUUAUUGUUGAACCGAAUACAUGUUAAGCAUGUUUACUGUUACUGUUGAACUGAACUCAUGUUAACCAAGUUCAUUGCCACUGUUAUGAUCUAUAUAAGCAUGAUAAUUGCUACUGUAUUGACUCGUUAUAAGCAUGUUAUUGCUACCGUAUUGAUCUGUUGUAAGCAUGUCAUAUUGCAUUGCUUGGGGUGGGAUGAUAUGAAUAGAGAAAGUAGUCGGCAGUUUAUCUGCACGACCAGCGUUUUAUCCACAACGUACUAGCAGGUUUUAUCUACACUGAUGGAUAGUUCAUCCACAACGUAUUAGCAGCUUUUAUCUACACAAACGGAUGGUUCAUCCACCAAUAUAUUUUCAUCAUUAGCAGUUCAUUUACAAUGAUUAGUAGUUCAUCCACAAAGUAGUGUAAAGGUAAAUGAGUUCUAACCCCUACUGUAGUGUGUAACGAACUUGGGUAAGAUCUUUUCAAAUAAAUUGAAAUUACAUUGCAUUCAUAGCAUUUAUACUACUAUGAAUACUGAGAUAUUAUUUUGAUGAGUUUUUCUGAAAUAUCGAUAUUUUGAAUUGCUAUUCAAUUGUGAUUUAUUCUAUGAAUGGUUUUUUUGUAUGAUUUGUCUACCAUUUGCAUUGAUUUUCUUGUGAUUGAACUUACAAUGAGCUUCUUAAGCUCACUCCAUUUUAUUUCCAUCUUUAUAGAUAAUCCACUAAGAUAGGACGCGGACACGACAUCUAGAGGAUCUCAGCUUGGAGUCGUUUAUUUUUUUAUAUAAAAGUAUUUUUUAUUUAUUAUUUGAAAUCGCAGUUAUUCAGAGAUUGUAUUGUUUUAUUCUGUGCCAUGGGACUUUGGUUUUUGGGUUUAUUUAACAUGCAUGAUAUUUAAUUUGAAUUUAGGAUGAUGAAACAUGGAUUUAAAAUUAAUUUUGCGUAAAAUCAUUUUGAUCUUACUUAAUUAAAACUAAGUUGGAUACCACAUUUCCGUUGUUAUAUUAUAAAUAAAUUUUGAGUAAUAAACAAAUUGGAAAAUUAACUAAGUUUUCAAAAGUAACCACUGUUACAAGGAAAAUGUUUUACUUAAUCGGUUCUUUGUUAACUCGUGAGAUUUUUUGAAAAUGGGUUAAGUUUCUUCUAAGAUAAACAAUUUUUUUAAAAUGUCUAUUUUAAAAACUCCAAUAGCUUAUUGGGUCAUUUCAAUGGCCAAUGUAAUCUUCUGAAUUCGGGCCUAAUGUCUAGGUUAGUUUCGAGAGGUUGCAGUUUUAUCUAAAAAUACUAGUAGGUUAGCUAUAAUUUUUACAACAAAGUGGCAGUUUAUCUGCAAAUCAGAGGUGGUUUAUCCACAACUCGAUGUGUAUGGAUGAAUGAGUUCUAGGGAACUCAUAGUGUGGUGUGUAGCGGAGUUGGGUAGGACAUUUUCUGAUAAACUAAAAUUGCAUUACCAUUCAUAAGCACGCACAUACAAAACUGUGAAUUCUAAAAUAUUAUAGUGAAGUGUUGAUCUGGAAAAUCGAUACUGUGAUUUGCUAUACGAUUGCGAUUAUUCCAAGAAGUGUUUUUUGUAUGCUUUGUCUACUAUUUUACAUCAAUUUUCUUGUGAUUGGACUCACACUGAGAUUCUUUAACUCAUUUCCUCUAAUUUUCAUCUUCUUAGAUAACCCACCAGGUUAGGAUAUGGACAUGGUGUCCAGAGGGCUCGACUCGGAUAGUUUUUUUUAUUUAAAAAGUAUGUAGACUUUAUAUUAAAGUUUAUGUUAUUUGGAACUGUAAUGAUUUAUUUGAACUGUGGCAUGAGACUGAAGUUUUGGGAAUUAUUUAGCAUGCACAACAUUCAAUUUGAUUUUAGGAUAUUAAAACAUGGAUUUUGAAUUAAUUAUGCAUAAAAUUAUGGUUUUCCUUCAUUAAAACUAUUUUGGAGUAUCACUUUUCCGCUAUGAUUUUAAAUGAGGUUUUUGAAAAUUAAAUAAUUUUAGAAAUCAAUUUUUUCUAAGUAAACUUUAAGACCCCUAAUUUUUGGAAAGUUAUAUCUUUUAGAGAAAAGAAGAUAGAACACUAGGUUUUCUUAAAAAAUAAAGCAAAUGUUUUAAACAAUUGUUUUAUAAAGCCCAUUAGUUCUACUGGGUCAUUUCGAUGACCAAUGUGAUCUUCCAAAGCCAAUCAUAACGUUUAGGUCGAGUUUGAGGGAUUACAGUUUAUAUGCAACAUAAACUAAAUAUAAAAAUUAAAAUGAAUAACAAUUAUUCCCAAAAAGUUUAGAUCUCGAGGAGUUGCCAUCACAUUGAACUAUUCGUGCAUGUCAUAGAACUGACUUCAUUCAUCAGAUUUCCUUUCAUGUUUUUAGAUUUUUAAUUCACAAACCUUUUUCCUUUUUCUUCAUUUUCCUUUUUUUCUUUUUCUACUCAGGGCGCACAAAGAUUUGAAUCUUAACCUAGUGCGAGUUUGGUUUCACUCCAUUACUUUUUCUUUCAUUAAUAUUCAAUGCAUAUUUAGUCACCAUUUAGAAAUUUAUUUUUAUAUUUAAUAGAUGCAUUCUAUACAAUGAUAAUGAUAAUUGUAUUAAAUAUUAAUAGAUAAAAAAGUACUAAAAUGAAUCUUAACCCAAUGUACGGACUUUUCCCCUUAAAUACUGCCAUUUUGACAACUUAUAAAUAAAUACAUUCUUUCUUAGUCCAUUUUCUCUUUUUCUUCUCUCUCUUUAACUCAAAUUCUUUCUUAGUCCAUUUUCUCUUUUUCUUUUCUCUCUCUUUAACUCAAAAGACUCUAUUAGAGUUGUGUGACCCAAAUUCUAAGAGAUUGCUUGCAAGUCAAGUUAAACAAAAAUAUAUUUUCUUUCUAGAAGAUUUAGUAUUUAUUAGUAUAAUAUAUUUAGCAUUUAUUAGUAUAGUUUAUUUGACUUACUAAUUUAGCCUAUAAAUAGGCUCUUUUACAAUCUUAGAAAUAUGACACCCAUUAGAUUAGAACUCAUAACACAUUCAGAGAAUUUUGUGUUUACGUUUUGAGGGUUCUUUGUUUUUCGGGUUUAGUUUUUAUCUCCAUCUUUUGUACUCUUCGUUCUUUUGCCAUUAUAGUAAAAUUAUCUUUACCCGUGGUUUUUUAUCCUCUUUGGAGGGGUUUUUUCACGUUAAAUUUGUGUGUUCAUCUUCUCAAUUUCUUCUACUAUUUUUACUUGUUCGUUGCUUAAUCGGGACGAUCCUAACAAGUAGUAUCAGAGCUAGUUCAAUUUUCAUAGAUCAGCCCGUUCAGAGAUGGCAGCAACAAGGUUUGAAAUUGAGAAGUUCGAUAGCGAGACAAAUUUCAAUUUGUGGCAAGUUCGGAUGAUGGCAAUUCUAGUUCAAAACGGCUUGAAAAAGGUUGUUACAGGGAAAAAGCCUGAGAAUCUAAAUCAAACAGAAUGGGAAGAGCUUAAUGAAAAGGCUUCGUCUGUAAUCCAGUUGUGCCUCGCGAAUACAGUAUUGUAAGAGGUAUUGAUGGAGAAGACCUCAUUCGCCUUGUGGAAAAGGUUAGAAACUCUUUAUGCGACUAAGUCUCUGGCUAACCGUUUAGUGUUGAAACAAUGUCUAUUUACGUUGCGCAUGAACGAAGGUGAGCUUCUUAAAGAUCACAUCAGUCAAUUCAUUACUCUUUUAAAUAAUUUAAAGAACGUUGAGGUUCAUAUUGACGAUGAAGAUCAAGCUAUGCUAUAAUUGUGCUCUUUAUCCUCUUCAUACAAGUCUUUCAGGGAGACCCUGAUUUAUGGCAGAGACAAACUCUCGUUCAAAGAUGUGAAGGGUUAUUUGUUGAGUAGAGACAAACUCGACAAUGAGUUUGGUUUGAAUAGCAAAGCAGAUAGGCAAGAUUUCGUUUUGGUAGCAUCAAAGAAACGAGACAAAAGGUGUCGCUAUUGUAAAAAGUUAGGUCACGUCAAAGUAGGUUGUUAUAAACUGCGAAAUAAAAGAGCUGCUGAGAGUAACGAGGAAGAUGUAGCUGGUGCUAAUUUGGUCGAUGAAGGCAGUGAUGAUUUCUUGUUAGUGUCAACAAACGAUAACUCCAAACUUACGUCUGAGUGGAUCCUAUAUUCAGGAUGUUCUUUUCACAUGUGUCCCAAUAGAGAAUGGUUCUCCACAUACAGUUCAAUUGAAGGUGGAGUUGUGCACAUGGGAAACGAUUCAUCUAGUAAAAUAAUCGGUAUUGGUACUGUUAAAUUUAGGAUACAUGAUGGGACGAUUAGGACACUCUCAGAUGUCAGGUAUGUACCUGAUUUACGAAAGAAUCUCAUCUCCUUGAGUAUUUUAGACUUGAAAGGAUGUAGAAUCAACAUCGAUUCGAGCGACAUUAAAGUAUCUCGUGGAGCUCUCAUUUUGUUAAAAGGUAAAAGAACUGGAAGUCUUUAUAUUCUGGAAGGUUCUACAGUGAUCGGUGAAAUCGGACGUCCCUCGUCCGUUACGGAGUCAAAGUCAACUCGUUUGGAGUGGAGGCAACUUGGUCAUAGGAGGGAAAAAGGUAUGACCGUUUCGUUGAAGAGAGGUUCUCUUUUGGAUGCAGGUUUUGAAAAGUUAGGGCACUGUAUUCGUUAAAAUCAGACCCGGGUUAGUAUUGAUUUGGCAGUGCAUAAGUUAAAGGCUAGAAGUCUUCCAGCUUCUAAGCAUAGAUUCGACUCAGUUAAUUCCCUGCAUAGUUCAAGAUAGGCCCAUGGCGGGUUUUGGCAAAGAUGGCGUUGAAAGAAUUCGUGUCAAGGUGGAGAUUGUUAGAGUUGUGUGACCCAAAUUCUAAGAGAUUGCUUGCAAGUCAAGUUAAACAAAAAUAUAUUUUCUUUCUAGAAGAUUUAGUAUUUAUUAGUAUAAUAUAUUUAGUAUUUAUUAGUAUAGUUUAUUUAACUCACUAAUUUAGCCUAUAAAUAGGCUCUUUUACAAUCUUAGAAAUAUGACACCCAUUAGAUUAGAACUCAUAACACAUUCAGAGAAUUUUGUGUUUACGUUUUGAGGGUUCUUUGCUUUUCAGGUUUUCGGGUUUAGUUUUUAUCUCCAUCUUUUGUACUCUUCGUUCUUUUGCUGUUAUAGUAAAAUUAUCUUUGCAUGUGGUUUGUUAUCCUCUUUGGAGGGGUUCUUCCACGUUAAAUUUAUGUGUUCAUCUUCUCAAUUUCUUCUACUAUUUUUACUUGUUCGUUGCUUAAUCGGGACGAUCCUAACAGACUUCAACUUCUCCCUAUAAUAAACCCAAAAAUGAAGAAAAUUUUGACCUAGACCGUCAUAUUGUUCAACGUCUUUGCUUGGUGGGUAGUGAACCUAAAACACUUAGGGGUUCAAAUGAACAGAACGUUCGAUAAACUGUUCGUUAACCAUUUGUAUAACGUUCAUUUAUGUUCGUUUAUUAAGCUAAAUAAACAAGUAUGAACAAAAUUUUUAUAUUUGUUUAACAAACGAACAAACACAAACAGAGGUAUGUUCGGUUCGUUUAUGUUCACGAACAAGCUAGUUUAUUAACUCAUUUUUUUAUUAAUGAUAUUUUCUUAUAAAAAUUCUAUUAGUAUAUAUUAAUAAAAUUAUCUUAAAACUCGUUUAUUGUUCCAUUUGUAUAUAUUAAUAAAAUUAUCCUGGUUUUUUUUCAUUUAUAAUAUAAUUAUUGUUAAGUAUGACUCCUAUUUUCAGUCAAAUUUGAGAAAUAAUCUUUUAGUUAAACUCUGUUUAUUUGUUUCAGUCAAACACUGAUUAGUUUAGAUUAUUUUAUUACUAUUUGACAUAUGAAUUUAGCCUAUAAAUAAACUCUUUUACAACAUUAGUAAAUACACCCAUUAGAUUAGAACUCAUAACACAUUCAGAGAAUUUUGUGUUUACAUUUUGAGGGUUCUUUGUUUUUUCGGGUUUUCAGGGUUUAGUUUUAUCUCCAUCUUUUGUACUCUUCGUUCUUUUGCCAUUAUAGUAAAAUUAUCUUUGCCCGUGGUUUUUUAUCCUCUUUGGAGGGGUUUUUCCACGUUAAAUUUGUGUGUUCUGUUGAAUAUUGGCAAUAUCCCACAUUAGGAAAAGAUAGAAAGGGAGGGGGUUUGGUUUGUUAUAUAUAGAACCCCUCCCCCUUUGGUUGUAUCAUCCCAAAAUCUUCUCCUUUGUAAUAUUUCUAGAAGAAAUAUUAAUUUGGUAGUGUCCGAGGACGUAAGCUAAAUUGGCCGAACCUCGUUAAAUCUCUGGUAUUUUAUUUCUUAUUUGUUUGCUUAUAUUUAAUAGCUUUAUGUUGGUUAUAUUUAUUUAGUUAUUAUUGCUAUAAAUAUCUAAGUGAGUUCUGUCUAGUUGUUGGGUUUUAAGCGGGACCAUUUGUGACCCCUCCAAUUUAACUGGGAAUUUUCUUAGUAUAAUUGUUGGCAUAAUAAUUAUCUAAAUAUUUCUGAUAAUAUUGUUAUUAAUAUUAUCGUCGCUUCCGCAACAAUUGGUAUCCGAGCCAAGGUUUUGUAGUAUGCUCUGUGUUUGCAGCUUAGUCUGAUCUUACACAUCAGAAACAUUUCCUAAAGCUUGUGGGUAUUCUGCAUUUGGUGGCUAUUAAGUAGAAGCUAUGGCAAAAAUGACAGAAGAAAAACCAUCCAUAUCAACAACUUCCACUUCGUACAUUUUGCCGAGGAUUGGAACUGCAAAUACGAGAUUUGUAGUGGAAAUUUUUGAUGGAACAGGUCAUUUCGGCAUGUGGCAAAGUGAGCUUCUAGAUGCCCUCUUUCAACAGGGUCUAGAUAUUGCCAUUGAGGAAGAAAAACCAGAAGGGGUUGAUGAUAAAGAAUGGAAGACCAUCAACCGAUUGGCAUGUGGUACAAUUCGAUCAUGUCUUUCCAGAGAGCAAAAGUAUACAUUCAGUAAAGAGACUUCUGCAAGUAAAUUGUGGAAAGCAUUGGAGGAGAAAUUCUUGAAGAAGAACAGUCAAAAUAAGUUGCAUAUGAAGAAAAGACUGUUUCGUUUCAAUUAUGUUCCUGGUACCACGAUGAACGAGCACAUUACCAAUUUUAAUCAGCUGGUGGCUGAUUUGUUGAAUUUGGAUGUGACUUUUGAAGACGAAGACUUGGCGUUAAUGUUGUUGGGAUCGCUUCCUGAGGAGUUUGAGUACCUUGAAACUACUCUACUUCAUGAAAAAUCAGAAGUAACUUUCAAUGAAGUAACUGCUGCAUUGUAUAGCUAUGAACUACGCCGAAAGGAUAAGUUGAAAGGUUCAGGUGAAGCAGCAGUGGAAGCAUUGGUAACAAGAGGUCGUCAGCAAAGUCAGUCUAAGGGGAAGAGAAGAAAGUCCAAAGGUCGAGCUGUUGCCAAAGAUGAAUGUUCUUUUUGCAAAGAAAAAGGACAUUGGAAGAAAGAUUGUCCAAAAUUGAAGAAAAAAUGGAAGACUCCGCAAGAUGCAAAUGUUGCAGAAUGCAAUAGUGAAGCAGAGUCAGACUUUUCUCUUAGUAUGACAUCUUCAACAUUAUAUGCAGAUGAGUGGAUCAUGGAUUCUGGUUGUUCCUAUCAUAUGUGUCCCAUUCGGGAAUGGUUCUUUGAAUUUCAAAAACUAGAUGAAGGGGUUGUUUACAUGGGUAAUGAUAACACGUGUAAAAUAGCCGGGAUAGGUUCAAUUAAACUGAGGAGUCAUGAUGGAUCUACUAGAAUUUUGCGGGAUGUACGAUAUGUCCCAAAGUUGAAGAAGAAUCUCAUCUCUUUGGGGUCGUUAGAAUCUAAAGGCCUAGUUGUGACAAUACGAGAUGGAGUUCUUAAAGCAACUUCAGGAGCAUUGGUGAUGUUGAAAGGCAUAAGAAAGAACAAUCUGUAUUACUACCAAGGUAGUACAGUGGUCGGGACAACAGCAGCAGCAAUUACGAGUACCAAGAAGGACGCUGAGGCAACACAGCUGUGGCAUAUGCGUUUGGGCCAUGCUGGUGAAAAAUCCUUGCAAACUCUAGCCAAGCAAGGAUUAUUGAAAGGUACAAAGACUUGCAAACUUGAAUUUUGCGAGCAUUGUGUUCUGGGAAAACAACGAAGGGUGAAAUUUGGCACUGGGAUUCACAAUACUAAAGGUAUUCUGGAUUAUGUGCAUUCUGAUGUAUGGGGACCGUCCAAGACUCCAUCACUUGGAGGAAGACGUUAUUUUGUCACCUUUAUUGAUGAUUUUUCCAGACGAGUUUGGGUGUUUCCUAUGAAGAACAAAGAUGAGGUGCUUGAAGUUUUCCUUAAGUGGAAAACUAAAGUUGAAAAUCAGACAGGAAGGAAGAUUAAGGUUCUCCGAUCAGACAACGGUGGAGAAUAUAAAAGCGAUCAUUUCCUGAAGAUAUGCCAAGAUUGUGGCAUAGUAAGGCACUUCACCAUAGGUGGAACACCGCAACAGAAUGGGGUGGCAGAGCGUAUGAAUCGAACGCUUGUGGAGAAAGUUCGAUGUAUGUUAUCUAAUGCUGGAUUAGAUAGAAAGUUUUGGACUGAGGCUGUGACGUACGCUCAACAUCUCAUCAAUCAUUUGCCAUCAUCUGCUAUAAAUGGCAAGACUCCUUUGGAGAAAUGGUAUGGAAAACCUGCUACUGAUUAUGACACCUUGCGCAUUUUUGGUUCUAUUGCAUAUUAUCAUGUGAAAGAAUCAAAGUUAGAUCCAAGAACAAAGAAGGCUCUAUUCAUGGGCUUCAAUGCUGGUGUUAAGGGAUAUCGUUUGUGGUGUCUAGAGGCAAAGAAGACGAUAAUCAGUAGGGAUGUUACCUUUCAUGAAUCUGCCAUGUUGAAUAAGGUAAAUCCAGACGGAGUGAGUAGUACUUCGCAGCAGGUGGAGUGUACUCCGCAGCAGGUGGAGUUUGAGCAGAGUGUGGUAAUUCCAGCAGAAGGUACCACUAGUGAUUCUUCAUUGGCAGAUGCAGAGUCAGAUGAAGAAGAGGUUUCUACCCAAGAACCUCAACAGCAAUCAGAGCCAAUUGCAGUCAGAAGGCAGAGACGAGAAAUUCAGAAACCUGCUCGUUUCACUGACAUGUUAGCUUAUGUACUUCCAGUUGUUGAUAAUAUUCCAUCCACUUACACCAAAGCCAUUCAGAGUUUAGAGAAUAAUAGAUGGUUAGGUGCAAUGGAAGAGGAAAUGCAAUCUCUAGAGAAAAACAAGACGUGGAAGUUGGCACAACUACCAAAAGGGAAGAAGGCGAUUGGUUGCAAAUUUGAAGACACUAUUGAAGUUAGUGUUAUGAGAAGAUGUUCGAAGAUGUGGAAUAUCGCCAAGGUGGAGAUUUGUUGAAUAUUGGCAAUAUCCCACAUUAGGAAAAGAUAGAAAGGGAGGGGGUUUGGUUUGUUAUAUAUAGAACCCCUCCCCCUUUGGUUGUAUCAUCCCAAAAUCUUCUCCUUUGUAAUAUUUCUAGAAGAAAUAUUAAUUUGGUAGUGUCCGAGGACGUAAGCUAAAUUGGCCGAACCUCGUUAAAUCUCUGGUAUUUUAUUUCUUAUUUGUUUGCUUAUAUUUAAUAGCUUUAUGUUGGUUAUAUUUAUUUAGUUAUUAUUGCUAUAAAUAUCUAAGUGAGUUCUAUCUAGUUGUUGGGUUUUAAGCGGGACCAUUUGUGACCCCUCCAAUUUAACUGGGAAUUUUCUUAGUAUAAUUGUUGGCAUAAUAAUUAUCUAAAUAUUUCUGAUAAUAUUGUUAUUAAUAUUAUCGUCGCUUCCGCAACAUGUUCAUCUUCUCAAUUUCUUUUGCUAUUUUUACUUAUUUGUUGCUUAAUCGGGUCGAUCCCUAACAAGUGGUAUCAGAGCUAGUUCAAUUUUCAUAGAUCAGCCCAUUCAGAUAUGGCAACAACAAGAUUUGAAAUUGAGAAGUUCGAUGGUGAGACAAAUUUCAAUCUGUGGCAAGUUCGGAUGAUAGCAAUUUUAGUUCAAUCCGGUUUGAAAAAGGUUGUUACCGGGAAAAAGCCUGAGAAUCUAAAUAAAAUAGAAUGGGAAGAGCUUGAUGAAAAGGCCUUGUCUGUAAUCCAGUUGUGCCUCGCGAAUACGGUAUUCCAGGAGGUAUUGAUGGAGAAAACCUCAUCCGCCUUGUGGAAAAGGUUAGAAACUCUUUAUGCGACUAAGUCUUUGGCUAACCGUUUAGUGUUGAAACAAUGUCUAUUUACGUUUCGCAUGAACGAAGGUGAGCUUCUUAGAGAUCAUAUCAGUCAAUUCAUUACUUUUUUAAAUGAUUUAAGGAACGUUGAGGUUCAUAUUGAUGAUGAAGAUCAAGCUAUGCUAUUAUUGUGCUAUUUACCCCCUUCAUACAAGUCUUUCAGGGAGACCCUAAUUUAUGGCAGAGACAAAAUCUUGUUCGAAGAUGUGAAGGGUCAUUUGUUGAGUAGAGACAAACUCGACAAUGAGCUUCAUUUGGAUAGCAAGGCAGAUAGGCAAGCUUCCGUUUUGGUAGCAUCAAAGAAACGAGACAAAAGGUGUCGCUAUUGUAAAAAGUUAGGUCACGUCAAAGCAGAUUGUUAUAAACUGCAAAAUAAAAGAGCUGCUGAGAGUAACGAUGAAGAUGUAGCUGAUGCUAAUUUGGCCGAUGAAAGCGGUGAUGAUUUCUUGUUAGUGUCAACGAGCGAUAACUCCAAGCUCACGUUCGAGUGGAUCCUAGAUUCGGGAUGUUCUUUCCACAUGUGUCCCAAUAGAAAAUGGUUCUCUACAUACAGUUAGGUUGAAGGUGGAGUUGUGCGCAUGGGAAACGAUUCAUCUAGUAAGGUAAUUGGUAUUGGUACUGUUAAAAUUAGGAUACACGAUGGGACGAUUAGAACACUCUCAGAUGUCAGUUAUGUACCUGAUUUACGAAAGAAUCUUAUCUCAUUGAGUAUUUUAGACUUGAAAGGAUGCAGAAUCAACAUCAAGUCAAGCGGCAUUAAAGUAUCUCAUGGAGCUCUCGUUUUGUUAAAAGGUAAAAGAACUGGCAGUCUUUAUAUUCUGGAAGGUUCUACAGUGACCGGUGAAAUCGGAUGUCCCUCAUCCGUUACAGAGUCGAAGUCAACUUGUUUGGAGCGGAGGCAACUUGGUCAUAGGAGGGAAAAAUGUAUGACCGUUUCGUUGAAGAGAGGUUCUUUUCUGGAUGCAGGUUUUGAAAAGUUAGGGCACUAUGUUCGUGAAAAUCAGACCCGGGUUAGUUUUGAUUUGGCAGUGUACAAGUCGAAUGCUAGAAGUCUUCCAGUUUCUAAGCAUAGAUUCGACUCAGUUAAUUCCCUGCAUAGUUCAAGAUAGGCUCGUGGCGGGCUUUGGCAAAGAUGGCGUUAUGGAAAUAUGAGUCAAGGUGGAGAUUUGUUAAGUAUGACUCCUAUUUUCAGUCAAAUUUGAGAAAUAAUCUUUUAGUUAAACUCUAUUUAUUUGUUUCAGUCAAACACUGAUUAGUUUAGAUUAUUUUAUUAUUAUUUGACAUAUGAAUUUAGCCUAUAAAUAGGCUCUUUUACAACAUUAGUAAAUACACCCAUUAGAUUAGAACUCAUAACACAUUCAGAGAAUUUUGUGUUUACGUUUUGAGGGUUCUUUGUUUUUUCGGGUUUUCGGGGUUUAGUUUUAUCUCCAUCUUUUGUACUCUUCGUUCUUUUGCCAUUAUAGUAAAAUUAUCUUUGCUCGUGGUUUUUUAUCCUCUUUGGAGGGGUUUUCCACGUUAAAUUUGUGUGUUUAUCUUCUCAAUUUCUUCUGCUAUUUUUACUUGUUUGUUGCUUAAUCGGGUCGAUCCCUAACAAUUAUUUAUAUUUAUAUUUGACUAUUUUAUAUCUAAACAAUAUAUGUGUAUUUAUUUUUUGUUUGUUUGUUUGUUUAUUAUUUAUUAACAUUAUUCGUGAACAUGUUCGAUUAAGUUAAAUGAUCAUGUUCGUGAAUAUCAAACAAACAAACAUGAACACACAUAAUUUUAAAUAAACGAACAUGAAUAAAAAUUUGAAAUUCUUAAUGAACACAAACUGAACAUGAACAAGAUUAAAAAUAAACAAAUAAACAUGAACAGAGAUUUAUUCGUUCAAGCUCGAUUCAUUUAUACCCCUAAAAACACCAUUGGUCGUAGUUUUUGGCCCCUUUAAAAAAACAUAAUGAUAAUAUACAUUUGACUCGUGUAUUGCACAAACAAUAAAACUAAUAAGAAAAUAAUUGUAAAAAGAAAAGAAAAAGUUAUCAUUUAUAACUUAAUUGUUAUUAUUAAAAAACAAAAGAAAAGGAUUUUUAGGUUAACUUGUUAUUUUUAUAAUUUUUAAUAGAUUUAUUAAGUUGUUUAUAGUUUUUAAUAAUUUUAAUAUUUUAUUAAUAUUUUUCUAGUAAUGUUUUGAUUUUUUAGUAAUUUUUAAUAAAAAUUUUAAGUCUUCUAUAAAUUUUAUUUUUAAUUUCUUUCUAAUAGUUUUUGAAUUUAUAAUAAUUUUAUUUUUAAUAAAAAUUUUAAGUCUUCUAUAAACUUUAUUUUUUAUUUUUUAUUUAUUUUAAAUAUUUUUUGAAUUUAUAAUAAUUUUGUUUUUAAUAAUGAAUUUUAGUUUGGGUUUGGUUCGAUCCCAGAUAUUGGUUUUUUCAUGUAGAGUUUUCUUUUUUUAGUUUUUUUGGUUCGGGUUUUCUCAAGUUUGAGUUUUUUAUUUUAUUUUAAUCUUUUCAAGUUAUGGUUUUUGGCUUUUUGAUCAAAUCAAGCUUAAGCAGGCUCAUACUCAAGUCUCUCAAGUCGGGUUUCAAAGCUUAGGCAUAUUUUGCCACAUCUACUUAUACUUUAAAAAUUUUGAAAGUUCACUCCAAUAGCCUUAAAUCCAUUAACUAAAAUGUUAAUUUUUUUUAGUAUUAUGUGAAAAUAACAAACUACCAAAAUAUGGUACAUAUGAAUAUGUUUACCACAUAAGAUUUUAAAAAAAAAACACACAAUUUAGCUCAACAAAUUAAACCAUUAUUGUUUGAGUGAAUACUAAUAUUUUAAUUUUUCUUAUAACUAUCAUUUGUGAUAAUUAUGUUAUUUUCAAAUACUCUCUCACAUCUCAAUGGACACAAGAUACUUCAUUAUUACUUAAAGAAUAUUGCCUUUAUUUUAUUUUUAAAAUUAUAUAUUUCAAAAUCUUAUUAAAUAAUCCAACAAUUUAUUUGGAAUUUUAUAAAAUUUUAUUACCUUUAGGAUAUCAUUCAGGAUCCCUGUUGCAAAUUUUAUAGAGAUUGUCAAAGCAAUAUAAAUUAAAAUUUUAAUUAAAAUAUAUAAUAAUAAACCCAAAAAUCGAUAAAAAGUCGAGCUUCACCAACAUAUUUUGGCCACCGACUCUGGUGGUUGGUGCACCCAAACCUCCAUGGUCAUAGUUUUUGGCCCCUUGAGCCUGAAUCCAACCUCCAUUUCAUUGAAAACACCCUGAAGUCUACAAAUCUAAGCUAAAACUUUUCGACCUUAUCCUUCUCGAUCAUUGUCCUCCACAAUUCAAUCAAACUCCUUUUAUUGUAUGUGGUUCCACCAUCCCGAAGUUUCACUUCCACCAUUUGGAUCUUCCAAAUCAAAAUCCACCUUGGCCGAAUCUCCCCUAGUGAUGUCUCUAGUUUUUUUUUUUUCAUUCUCUUCAUUUUCCUUAAUUUAUUUUUUUUACAAGUUUUGAUUGCUAUUGGUAUGAAUGAGCUGGUAAGGCCUUAGCUCCAAGAUGAGUUGGGUUGCCAUGAUGAAAGAUUGUGAAAGGGAGCUAAUGGGUUGGGCAUUGAUGUGUUGUUGAUUGCCUUGGGGUCGUGAUGGUGAGAGUUGAGUGAGUGGCAGUGGUGGUGGAGAGUGGCUGUAAAAGGAGGCCGAGAUUGCUUGGUUUCAGGUUAAGUAGUGCUUGAGUGGUGUUUUGUUGAGCUUGGUUCAAUGGAGGGAUUUUGAUAUGGCAAAUAAUAGUAGGUGGUAGUUCAACUUUAGCUGCUUGGCAAUUGAGUUUGUGUCACUCUGAUGGGAGAGCUUGGGGGAACUAAGAAUAGUCUUAGGCCUUUGUGGCUAGGGAUGGCAACGACAGGAUGGGGUUUUUAGCCCACCUUGGUUCUGACCCAAUUGUCAUUUAUAAAUGCCCAAAUCCCUCUCACUUCAAACCUUAUUUAAUAAAUUAUAUGUUAGCACCCAACUCCCACUUCAACCUUAACAUGAUUUUUAUCCAUCCCACUUUGAAAUUUUGCAAAAUGUUUUAUAUUAUACUUAUUUUUAGAAAACUAAAUCAAACCUAUUUAUAAAAUCUUAUGAAAUAAAAAGUUGUAAUAAAAGUAUAUAAAACUAAAUAUAUGUUUGUAAAAUAUUAUGAAAUUUAAAAAAAAUUAUAAUCUAAAAUAAAUAUUAAAACUAGUAAUUAUAAAAUCAAAGUGUAUUUUAAUAAAUAUACUAGGAUGGGUGGGGCAAAUUUUACCUAAAGUCGGUCUUGAAAUUUUCAAUGAAAAAUUGUCACGUUUAUCUCUAAAAUCCCAUUUAAAAAGAAAAAUACCCCUACAAGGUUGAGGUAGGUCGGAGUGUAUGAAUUUUGGGGCUUUUUUGCCCUAAUAAUAUAAAAAUAAUAAUUUAUUACUGAAAUAGGACAACCAAUAAUUAAAUACCAAAAUAAGCAGAUUGCACAGUAAUCAAUUGGUGUUGCCUAAUCAACUGGUGACAUCACCCCCACUUCCUCCAAUCAUUACAAAAUCAUUAGUUAAAAAAAAACAUUUUUUUAUAUUGCCACUAUGUCAAGUGACACCAAUAUGUAUUUCUGACAAAAUACCCAUAUUUCUUUGGAUAUACCGGAGAAAAAAAUUUAAUGGUGCCGCCGGCAUGUUAGGCAACACCAAUGGGUUUUAAAUUUUUUUAAGUUGAUCAAAAGGUGUCUGAAAAAAGGAAAAAAAAGGUGGAAAGUACAAAAAAAAAAAAGAAGCUAGGGAGCCCGUGUCCUCCGCCGCCGUUCUCUUACGCUAGUGUCAUUAAUGGGUCUACUAAAUCUUUGCAUGGUGUCGCUGGCGCUGUCAAUGGUGGAUUUGUCAAUGAUUUUCAGUUCCAAUACCAUGUUUUGUAUUAUUUGGUCAGCAAUGGUAGGGGAUACGUCGAUUCGACUUUGCAUCACCAGAUUUUCUCGGUACUCGGACUGUGUUUUAGCCCCAAUAAAUAUAAUCUUUUAUUCUCAUAUUCACCGAUAAAACACAGUCCGAGAAUCGAGAAACUCUGGCGAUGCAAAGUCGAAUUGACGUACCCCCACCACCGCUAGCCAAAUCAUCCGAAACAUGGUUUUGAAACUAAAAAUCAUCGACAAAUCCACCAGUGUCGGUGGCAAUGACACCAUGCAAAGAUUUAGUAAACCCAUUAACGACACCGGCGUAAGAGAACAACGACGGAGGACACAGGCUCCCUAGUUUUUUUUUUUACUUUCUGACUUAUAUUUUCCUUUUUCAGACAACUUUUGAUCAACUUAAAAAAAUUUUAAAACCCAUCAGUGUUGCCUGACACACCACGACACCAUUAAAAAAAAUUCUCUGGUAUACCCAAAGAAAUACGAGUAUUUUAUCAAAAAUACAUACCGAUAUCGUCUGACAUAGUGGUGAUACCAAAAAAAUAUUAUUUUUUAAAAAACUAAUGCUUUUGUAAUGAUUGGGGAGAAGUGGGAGUGGUGUCUUUGGUUAAUCAGGCGGCACCGGUUGGUUACUAUACAAUUUGUCUAUUUUGGUAAAUAAUUUCUUCAUUAAUAAUUUUUUUAUAUUAUUAGAGUAAAAAAAAGCUUGAUUUUGGUUUUUUUACCAUCCGUAUUUGCUACUAAGUUGAUGGUGGAUCCUAGAGUUGUUGUAGGUGAGAAUGGUGGACUUGAUUGGUCCUAAAGCCCAUGUUUGUGAGGGCUUUGAUGAGAUGAAAAUGAUGGUAACGCUCUCCCCUUUCUUCAUCCGCUUUUUGUGAGUUUAUGGGUUGCCUGAGCAGGAGAGGAUGGAGUGAGGUGUAAGGGUGAUGGCAGUGGCAGUUAAGAGCUUUUUAACUUGUUUAUCAAUCAGGUUUGGAUGGAUUAGAUUGGGUUUUUUAAAAGAAAAUUUCAUUCAAUCAUUCCAUAAACGAAAUCGUAUAAUCUGAAGUAAAGAAAGAAACAACAAAUACCCACAAUCCAUCCAUCAACAGGAUAAAAGUUUUGGACUAAAAAAAACAUUGGACAUCACAGGUGAGUAAGCAAGCCUUUAAACCUGGCCCUGGAAAUUAAGUAUGCUAGUGGCCCAAAACAUUAGUAUAGGGUAGUAGGUCAAAAGUUUGAUUAAUGUUAAGUUACAAUUCAUUAUGAGAUCUAUACCCACUUGUACGAAAGAAACUCAAUUUGUAAAAUGGAAAAUACUUAAUGCAUUUACCUAACCAUCUCAUUCAACUUUCAAACUUCAAAAAGAAAUCUUAAUUUUCUUUAUAAAAAAUCGAAAUAAGCUUUUUAAUGUAUUUCAACAUUUAUGAUCUAUCCAUUAAGAUUACUAUUUAUUGCGGAUGUGUCUCACUAAUUUGUAGUUUAGUUGAAGUUGUCAUCUAAAUUAUAGAGUAAUUUAAUUAAUCAACAACUUUUAUCCCUUAAAACAUUACUGCAUUUUGUCUAAACAAAAAGUUUAAAAUUAAAAUAUAUAUAUUUAUAAAAAUAUAUUCAAUAGUUUUUGUGAUACCACCAUAUCAUAUAGUAAGGUACAUACAUUGAUGAUCUCUCUAGUUUUACAUUUAAUUUUCUAUUUUUUAAUUAUUCAUUAAACUUAUUAUUUAUUUAUUUUUGUAUUGUCGAAACCGAUUUUAAGUUUGAAAAAAAACAAACGGGGAUCGACUUUUUUAAAAAAGAAAGCUCUGGGAGUCGCCACCGAUCUUUUAUUUGGGUGCAAUCAGUCCACCCUUAAAAAACAAUUUUGGCUCGCAAAAUUUGAGAAAACGGGUUCGGGAGUCGGUUACGCACGAGGAAGGGUUAGCACCCUCGUGACUAAAUUGGUACCGAAUUGACUGUUUGGGUGUCUUAAUGUCGAAACUUUGAAAAGAUUUUAAAAUACUAUCCUUUGAUGAGAAAACCUGGAUAACUAAAUUGAAUGAUGAGGUGCACCCAUUUCGCAUAAAUGAAUUGCCACAUUCAGUGAGUUAGGGUGCAACAAUUCAAUCUUCGAAAUUAGAUUCGAUCCUUUUUUAAGAAAAUCAUGUGUUUUGAGAAGGAUAUUUGAUUAUUUAAGUCAAUCGAGAAACCCAAACCCAGUAAGUUAGGGUUCAAUUUCUCGAAAUUCUUGAACAUCAAAUAUUGCCUUUAUUUCGAAAUCGAGAUAACAAAAUGUUGUAUCCAGUAAGUUAGGAUCAAACAUUUUGAAAUUGUAAGAACUUUAUUUAAUAAAUGUAUGGUUUUAAUAAAAUGGAUACUUGAUGAUAUAAAUUCAUUAAGAAGAAUUGAAGCCCAGUAAGUUAGGGCAUAAUUCUCUCGAGAACUCAUAAACACCAAACCCUUUUUAGGAAUUUGAAAUAAAACAAUUAUAACGCUUUAAUAACAUGCAAUUUUUACAAAUAGAACAUAAUUGAAUAGCAAUACAUAUAAUGUAAAAGAUAAAUAACAAUUUAAACUCAAACUAAAACAAUUAACCAAAUAAUGGGCAAAUACAAACAUCGACUUUGAUCAUAUUAUACAAACAUCCAUAGUAAAAAGGCGAUCCAUAAAUUCAAGACAAUUAAAAAAAUCGAGACAAUAAAAAAAUAAUAACAACAAAUAAUACAAAUACUUGAUACAAUUUGGUAAAUGAAUAAAAAAAAAGGGGGUUUGAAGAGAUUUUAAUGAAAGAUUUUAAAAAACAUAAAAAUAAAAAUGAAGAAAAAUGAAAGUAAACAACUUAAAAUUAAUAUCUACAUUCUGAUUUAUAUAAACAAAACCUAGUAAAAUAAUGGUAUAUACAUAGUAAUAAUAUAUAAAAAGUUAAAUAAAUAAAAUGAAAUAACAACUUUUAAAAGGAAUAAGGUUUUUAUGCAUAAGGAAAUAUCAUUUGAAAUUAAUAAUACGUUAUUAUAUAUAUACGUAUGUAUAUUACUAAAAAACGCUAUAUAUGCACGUAUAUAUAUAAAACUAUAAAGCAUUAUUAAAAAUUUUAAAGUUUAUUAUAUAUAUAUGCGUUCAUGAACGAAAACAAACAAAAAGGUAUGCAUAAAUUAUAUUAAGAUGAUAUCUAAAAAUAUAAAAGAUUUAUAACAUUAAGUGAUGAAUUUAUGGAAAAAAUAUUAAGAUGAAUUAAUUGGGAUUAAAUUAGAAAUCAAACAGAAUCAAAGGAAAAAUGUCAAAAACAGAGUAAAAUGGCGGGUCAAAGCGCGACAUGGGGAUAACAUGGGGACCAAACGAGAAAUAUUUCCCAUACCCCCAAAACGCAGCGUCUUUGCGCGGACCAAAACGGAAUGAACACAAAAUGCACGGCCAAAUUUAAACAAAAUAUAAAGGUUUAUUUGAAUACAUCAUAAAAAAAGAACUAAGUGCGCAAAAAUCCCCUCAGACCCAAAACACGCGGAUCCUUCCCCUGGGUCGGGUCAUCGCGCGGGUUGAAGGCCACCAGACGACGCCAUUUUGAAGCUAUCGCAUUAGCUACAAACGGCGACGUUUUAAAACCUACUGCUAAAACUAAAAGAACCUAAAAGCCUAACAUUUCAUCAGAGGAAAAAAAAAACCUAAACUAAAACCUCUGCGCCGCUUCGACGAAACGUCACCCCAGAGCCCUCUCCCCUCGCUGCAACUCCGAUGACUACGGAGAGAGUAAAGGUCCGGCCACCGGGUACGUUUCCCCUUUUCUUUUUACUAUUUCUUUUAACCAAAGGUUAAUGAGCUUCGAAAAUCAGAAAAAGAAAGACGGAAAAUGAAACUAAAUCAGCCAAAGAAGAAAGAAAUCCAGAAAUCACCUUUUUGAUCUUUCAAAAAAAAAUUUGUAUUUCGAAUGCGUGUGUUUUUUGUGUGUUUUUUUUUUCUCUCUGUUCCCUUACAAAAAAGCUCAGCCCUUGUUUUAUAGGCCGAGAUUAAAAAAUGAAAUCCCCCUCGAAUCCCUUCUUUUUUACAAUUUUUUAUCUUUUCCUAUUUUCUGAUUUGCUGGCGGUUUCAAUUCUUUUUGCUUGCUUUCUCUGCCUUUUCCGUUUGUUUGUCCUUCUUGCAGGUAUACAGACGCCGUACGGUGACGUGACGCGGCUCGACGCAGCGCAUGGAGGCGUGGCACGUAGCGGUGGCGCACGUGGGAAGGCGUGCGCGAGGGCAAAAGCUCGGCACGUGAGGACGAAGGCUUUGGUGGCUGCGGUGUGGCACGUACAGAUGCUAACUAGCGUGUGUGGAGGCUGCUAGGGUUUCUGACUUCUAGUUUAGGCCAGGAUAUUGGGCUUAGGUUUAGGCUAAUUUGGCUUAAAAACAGUUUCGGCCACAUUAGGCUCAUGUAUUUGGACUGUUUUUAUUGGACUUUUAAUUUUAUUUAUUAUUUUUUCUUGUUUUUUUUUUGCUUAUUCUGAAUGGACCCCGGGCAAAUUGGGCCUAUUACAUGUAUAAAAUCAUAUUAUAAAUACAUCAUAAUUUAUUCUUUAAAAAGCUCUUUAAUUUUAAGAAAUGUAAUCCUCUCUUUUAUGGGAAAAAUUUUAGAAAUAUAUUUUGAUUUUAUUUUCUUACAGAAAAGUUCCAUACACCAUAAUUUAUAAUCUUAGGAAAACUAAUAUUUUGUGAGAUUAACAAUAAUAAUAAAACAUCUUCAACAAUCGUCUAAUUAUUAUAUAAUGACUUCACAAAUAGGUUGAUAAUAAUUGUAUUGAUGAAACAAAAGCAUCUUCUUUAUUACUAUGCUUUAUAAUUAUGAUGCUUAUAGAUUAUUAAAAUGUAGUAUAAUUGAUUAAAUAUGUUUGGUAUAUUGUUAAUACAUUUAAAAUUUUUACAUGUAAUAAAAAAAAAGAAAAAAUAAUAAAAAAUGUGACAUGUGAUAAAUUUAUAACUCUGCUUAUAAAGUUAAAAAAAAUGCAAUGUCAAUAUACUAUGCUCACUCAUAAUUAAUUUAUAAAAAUAAUAUAUUAUUAAAACUUUAAAAUAACAUUAGAUUAAAAUAUACUAUAAUAUAUUUUAAUUAUUUUUAACAAAUUUACAAAUCUAUUAUUUUUUGUUUAAGUAUUUUAGUUUACCAAAAUAAUAUAAUCAUUGCGGGCUAUCGCUUACCUUUUUUUUUCUCUCCCAUCAAUCCUUUCUUUCUUUCUUCUUCUCAUUUACUAUAUACGUUUUCUCUCUUUUCAGUUUGUAAAUUUAUUGUGUGGGUAUCUUUGUUAUCUUUAUAAGCUGUAAUGGACAGAUGACAAUGCCUGUUAUUCGUUAAAAUUUCACCUGCCACCAGUAAUUUUUCUUGGAAAGUAGGUAACUCUUCGUCGACUUCUUAAUUUGUUUCUGUUUUGAGAGUAUUUCAGAAUAAUAAAUUAUUUCACGUGUCGAUUUGGACCCGUGUUAUCUUAAGUUUUAUAUAUUUUUUGUUUGUUUUUCCAUUGUUUAAUAAGUCUUUAGUUUUAGAAGGGUUUUUUUUUUGGCUCUUGUAGCACGUUUUGUAGUCUUGCUUAUGCAUGUAAUAUUAGUUUUACAAGUGAUAUUAGGGAUGAUUUUGUUAUCGUCCUCUCUAGUUUACUUAUUGUAUUAAGUGCUUACAAUCACUCCAGAUAUGUCGUGCUUGAGUUGUGAUAAAGCCAAUUGUCAACAUGUCAUAAUGUUCUAUUGAUGUUGAAGUUAAAACCUUUGUUGUAUUGAUGAAACUUGUCUUUCACCAUCUACGACUUUACUAUUUUUUUCUCCGAAUUGUAUGGUUUAAUUCAUUGAAUAAAUUAAUAAAUUUAGCUUUCAAAAAAAAUAUAAUCAUCUAAAAGCUUAUUCUAUAAUCAUCAAAAGAUUCUUCGAUAAUAAUUUACUUCACAAAUAGGUUUUUAAAAAUUCAAUUUUAUUAUAAAAGUAAAGAAGAGGAGGAGAAGUUAAGAAUAAGAAAAACACGAGAACAAAGAGAGCAAUAUAAAUUUUAUUCAUCAAUAGGGGUAUUUACAAUACUUUUCCAUUAUUUAUAUUUAUAGACUUGAAAAGUAUAAAUAAAAUAAAAUUAUAUUUUUAAUAGACAGUAAAAUUUUAAAAUUGAUCAAACUUCUUAUUUUGAUAGACAUCUACUACAUAAUGAUAAAAUAUUUCUAACAAAUUUAAGUUUUUUACUAAGAUUAUUUCAUUUAUAAGUGAAAUUUCCUCUUAACCUUUUUAUUAAAAUAAAGAAAAACAUAUUUGUUACAAUAAUUUAAUUUGAUAUUCUUACUAUUUUUUAAUAUAUUAUUUUUGAAAUAUAUAAAUUUCAAUUUUUUUAAAUUUAUUUUAUUAUUUAUAUUUUUUAAAAUUUAUAAAAAAUAAUAUGAAAUAAUUUAAUAAAUUUAAUUUUAAAUACAAUAAUCUCAUUCAUAGCAUUGGUAAGAAAAAAAACAAGUUAUAUAUAAUACAGAUAAAAUUUUCAUUUAAUUAUUUAGUUAUAGUAAAAUAAUAAAGUUUUUAUGCUUAAAUUUUAUUUAAACUUAAGUUUAAACAUUUUAUUUUUUGCUAUUUUAUUUAAAUAUUUCAUAUAAAAAUAAAAAAAUACAAAACAUCAAAAUUUAAGUAAGUGUCCUUAUUUUUUUUCUUUUAAAAAUUCACAUUAAAAUUAAUUAAAUAAAAGAACUCCAAAAGGUAAAAGUAUACAUUGAAUUUAAAAACAUUUUCAAAAUGGCUAAAGAUGCUAUUAGUCUCUAUACUUUUAUAGAAUCUGAUAUUUACUUUAUGCACUUUUUAAGUUAAAAAUUCAAUUCUCUUGCUUCUUAAAUUUAAAAAAUCCUAGUUUGAUUGUUAUCGUUGUUGGUAAUUUUGAUUAAAAUUUGUCAACCUAACAUGUUUAUUUCUCGUCAAUCAUAUGCUACGUCAUAUGAGAGUAGCUUAAUCAACAUGUCAACUUAAUAAAUUUUGAUAGAAAAUAUUUAAGAUUUUAAUUAUUGGACUUGGAUUUUUAACUCAAUUAAGUAAGAAGACUUAAUUUUUAACCUUUUAAGUAUAAGACCUAAAUCUCAAAAUUUGUCAAAGUACAAAUACUAACAACAUGAUUUAACCUUUCAAAAUCCAUAAUCAAACAAUAAAGGUGAAACAUUAGUUUUGGUAAUGUCCAUCAAACCUCAUUUGCCUAAGGACUCAAAUUCAAACUUUGAAGAUGAUAUUAUUAAAAGGAGUAAUUAUAAACUACAAAAAUAAACCUCGAAUAUGAACUGUAAAACAGACAUGAAGUAUUAAAAGAAUCUCAUAAGUCCUAAAAAAGAAAAAGAAUUAUCAUUAUUAUUUUUACCAUUAAGAAAAAAAAAUUAUUACAUGCACGAGAAAAUAUAUAAAAAGAACAAAAAGUAACACUUUGAUCCACUUACCAAUCAAAGAUGGUAAAAACUGAGAAAAGUCACAGCUUGUGACUUGAUCAUCUAUACAUACAAAACUAAGGGUCUGUUUGAUUGUAGUAAAAUAUUUUCCGGAGAAGGUUUUCAGCCUUUUCCAGUGUUUGCUUGGUUGAAAAUAUUUUCCUCAGGUAAAAUCAAUUACAAACACCGGAAAAAGAAGCCUUUAAUCUUGGAAAAUGUCUUACCGUUUCUAAUUCGGUAAGACAUUUUCAGGAAAAUUUUAGACACUGAUCUUCCCUUUCCCUUCCUCUUCCCCUUCCCCUUCCCCUAUCCUUGACACCUGAUCUUCUGCUUGCCAUCAGCCAACACCGAUUCUUAACACCAGACACCGGUGUUCAUCAACCUUUUUUCUAUGUUUUGAUUUUGGAGCAAUAAUUGAGGGAAUCAGAAAAUGGAGAAAACUGAUGGGAUUGGGAAAGAAAAUGGAAGCACAGAAGAAAAGCAAAGUUUCAAAGAUGGAUCAAUUUGUGGGUAUAAUUCGCUUCACCACCUCUUGAGCGCAAAUCUCAAGCCUCAACUCUACCAGGUCUUUUCUUUUUCUUUUUUCCCACUUUCCGGGUUGUAAUUUAUCUGUCUCCACUUUGUUGAUUUAAUUGGGUAUUUUUUGUUUUUCUUAGUCUGGCCAUGCACUGGGCAAAAAAUUCCAAUCUUUCCUGUUAUUUUUCUUUCAGAUUUCAAGAAAGGAAGAUUGAAAGGAUUACUUAGGCAAAGUGUGAAUGAUCUCUCAAUGGAAGUUGAUGAGGUAUAUAUUUUUGUUGUCUUUUGAAUAAAAAAGGGACAUUAAUGGGUUGAAGCUUUGAUUUGAGUUAGUCUUAGGCAAUAUUGCUUGCGUUCUUGAUACUGCUUUCAUGCAGAUUUUGUUGCAACAUCUAUUCAUUUUUGGUUUUCUUGGGUAUAUUCGUAUCAAUGGCAGUGCAAUCUCAGGCUUGAUCUUUUUAUGAGUCUAUAUGAUCUGUUAAUUUGCCCAUAGGAAGAUGGUACAGAAGUGAUGCAUUGUUAAUUUACUGAACCAUACUGUGUUAUCAAGGUGUGCCUAUGCUUUUGCACCUUAGCUUCAGACAACCAAAGGACCUCAGACCCUUUUGGGCUAGGCACAUUUGAUUAGGCGCUCGCCUAGUGUGCGUAGGCGUGCUUUUUUGUAAGGCGAUGGGCAUAUAAAAUCCGCCUAAUUGAAGUUCUCUUUAAUUACUUUUGUUUUCAACUUUUUCAUUAGAUGUACAUUUACUUGUAAGAAAUGAGAUAUUAUCAAAACUCUAUUUUGUAAUAUUUGUGUAUUGAACAACAGUCAUGGAACCAAUAGGAACUUUUGCAUAUUGGCCAACAAUAAAAAAGUUCCUUGUUUUGUAGAUAAAUUGGAUAAAAGUGUUUUAUCAUAAUUAUAUUGCUUAACCUUACAUAUACGCACCACAUAUACAUAUAUGCAUAUGCAUGCAUAUUGCACCUUACUUCAAUCAGGUGAACGCUUUUUUGUCCCUUCUGCCUAAGGCAAUACAAGGGUUUUUAGCACCUGGAGUGUACCUUUAUCCCUUGGCAAUACAAGGGUUUGAACACUGGGUUUACUUGGCUUGUAAUAUGCCUUGGGAAGCUUUUGAUCCUAUGAGACAGAAAUGGAUGAGAUUACCUAGGAUUCCAUGUGAUGAUUGUUUUACUUAUGCUAACAAGGAGUCUCUUGCAGUGGGGAGUGAAUUACUUGUAUUUGGUCAUGAAUUGUCAGGAUUUGCUAUUUGGAUGUAUAGUGUAGUUACCCACAAUUGGUCGAAAUGCCCCCUAAUGAAUUUGCCUCGUUGUCUGUUUGGUUCUAGCAGCCUUGGGGAGAUAGCCAUUGUUGCUAGGGGAAGUGAUAAGAAUGGCAAUGUCUUACAAUCUGCUGAACUCUACAAUUCUGAAGUAGGUACUUGGCAAACAUUGCCCGACAUGAACUUUCCGCAUAAACUAUGUUCGAGAUUUUUUAUGGAUGGGAAGUUUUAUGUGAUUGGGGGCAUGUCAAGUCAUACAGAUUGUUUGACUUGUGAUGAAGAGUACAAUAUUGAGACAAGGUCAUGGUGGAGGAUAGAAAAUAUGUACCCUGGUCACGAUGCAGGUACGUUUCGUCCUGCUAUGCGUUCACCUCCUUUAGUUGCUGUUGUAAAUAAUCAACUUUACUCUACUGAUCAAGCAACUAAUGAAGUUAAGAAAUAUGAUAAGGUUAAUAACUCAUGGAGUGUUGUGAAGAGACUACCUGUGAGGGCAGACUCUUCCUACGGUUGGGGGCUGGCAUUUAAAGCAUGCGGAAACAGUUUACUAGUAAUAGGAGCUGGAGGUCAUGGAGGGCAUGAUGAUGGAGUAAUUGUUUUGCAGUCUUGGAAUGCAGAGGAGGGAAACAGGGAUGGACAAGAGUGGAAUGUGCUUGCUGUCAAGGCACGGGCAGGUGCUUUUGUGUAUAAUUGUGCGGUAAUGGGCUGUUAAUGAGAGUUGCCGCAUCUUUGGUGCAAACAUCGACAUCUGGAAGACCAAGAUCAACGAUCCUCUAUCUGUUAUAAUUUUUAUUGUCUCAGUAUCAUUAAUUUUUUUGUUCUUUUUCCCAUCUUAUGAUUCAGAAGAAUAAUUGACCUCGAAUCAAUUUCUUAAAGUUACCAACUGAUUGUGUUGAUCCCUCUAUUGCAAGCAUUAACCUCAUACCAAGUAAUGACUGGUUCCAUUUAUCUUGUACUUUGGCAUUGAAUUCAUUUCUCGUAAUUGCUUUUAUGCUGAGCGUAAUUUCAUCAGGAGAUCACUACAAUUGAUUCACUACUAAUUAGUACAUUUCGGAAGUAGUUUGCAAUGCUUUUAUAUUUUAAUAAUUGAGUAUUAUUAUAUAUUUAAUUUAAUUUAUUUACUUGUAAAUAAAUCAUUGCAAUAUAUGUAAAAACAAUUUAAAAUAUAAAAAUUUAUUAAUAUAUAUUAAUAUAUGUAAAAAUAACUUUUUCAGAAAAUAUUUUUAGGAAAUCUGCCAAACAGCGAAAAAUAUUUUACACAGAUUCAAUCAAACACUAUAAAAUAUUUUUCAGUAAAUUAUUUUACAGAAAAGUAAAAUAUUUUUCAAAAAUCAUUUUAAUGAAAAUAUUUUAGUGACAAUCAAACGGAACUAAAGUAAAAAAGCUUAGGGUUUAAGAUAGUAUUUUCCUUCUCCUACGAAGUCAUUUUAAUCCUCGGGAAAUCUAAAAAUUCCAAAUUUCUCCUUCCCAGAUAGAGAGAAAACAAGCAUUUUUUUUAAAAAAAUUUAUAUAUUAUUUUUAAUAAGAGGGAGAAUAUUUGGGUGUCUGUUUUUUGUUUUUCUUCGAGCUACUACCAAUGGUUGAAACUUGAAAUAAAACAAAAUUUCAUUGUUCCCCUUUCCAAUUUAAGGAGAAAAAAGGGGGGGGGGGGGAGCUAACUCAAUAUGCGAUUUUUUAUUUGAUUCAGGGAGUGUGGUAAAAUCUAGCUCGUUAAAAUUUCCAUAUUUUUUAUUGAAUAUCACAUACUGAAAAACUCAAGAAGAGAAAAGCCAAAAAAAAAAAAUGAACGGAGGAGAUGAGGUGGUCACAGCUCCGGCAGGCCCGCCACAACCGUUGGAUUGGAAAUUCUCUCAGGUAUUUGGUGAACGAACGGCUGGAGAAGAAGUUCAAGAAGGUAAUUUCUUAUUGCUUUUGGAUCUAAUUGGUAUUGUGCUGGUUCUAUUGGAAUUAGGGUUUAUUUUAGUGAUUGGGACAUAGUUGGGAUCAUGGGCUAUUGAGUAAUUGUUGUUUAUGUUAAUGGGCAAGGAAAAAAAAUCUUGACUUUUUUUGGGGGGAGGGGGGUUGCGGCUGCUUAGAUUUGGGAAAAAUACUGGGUUUGAGACAAUGCUUUGAAUCAUUACUGGGUAAUAGUUUUGUGAGAAAAAAAAGUAGUGUGGAAGUGAACUUGGUGAAGUUAGUGAUGUUGCAUGCACAGAUAAGUUGUGCCCCUUUUGUUUUUUGUACUAUUAAAUUAACCAUAGUGGUUUGAAACUCAAAUUUUUUUCUACAUAUUAUGUGGUUGUCAGAUUUCAGUGAUGGUAACUGAUUAAUAGUAUUGAUCACUGAAUGGGAACUGGAAUCUGGGCAUUAUCACUCUAUUAGGAUGAAGCUAGAUUAUGUUCUAGGAGUUUAUGUAUGUCGUUUUAAGUCUUAAUUCAUGCAUGGAUUACUACAUUGAUUUGCCAUGGGUUUAUUAUUUAUAUGCUGGAAGUAAAGGCAGGUACAUUUUAAGUACUCCUGAGAUCACUUGGUGUGUUUUAGUUUGGUUAUGAAAGGGUUAUGUCAUGGCAAACUUUCUAGCAAAUGGGACAGGCAGAAAGGACAUUAUACUAUCAGUUGAAUGAUGUAAGAGUAUUGAUAUUUGGCCUUUUUGAUAGUUAAAAUUUCAUAUUUUGUCUCAGUAAGUCAAUAGUGAAACUUGGCUUAACAAGUUGAGUUAAAUCCUGUGUAAGUAUACGGUGGGUAAACAUCAAAGUCCUUGACUUCUUCUGAAACAGAUAAGCAGAUACAUUUCGUUAUGAAAAGAGUUAUAGAAAUAGCUUGAUGAUACUCAGCUUAAUGACACUAUAAGAAUUAGCUAGUAGACAAAAAUGGGAAGUUUGAGGUGUAGACAUUAUAUUCUGUUGAUGAUAACUUAUAGUCUUAACUAAUAUUUCAAAUUUCAAUUUUGAAUUGUGGAAAAGCAAUGAAUGAUAAGUCUCUUUGGCAAGAAUUCUUUCUUGGAAAGCAUUAUCUUGGAUCAUGUGAUCGUCUAAGUGCUUGUCAUUUGCUCUCUCUCUCUCCCUCCCUCCUUUCCCUUCUCAUGUCUCCAAAUUAAGCCCAUCAUUGCCACAGUGAUUUUCCCCCCUUAAGCUUGUCAGAAUAAUUGGGUGAAAGGGCUAUGAGAAUGUAUACUACGGUGGCUGUGAAUUAUUCUUGGUAAGUCUUGGCAGAAAUAGUUAAUAGUUUAUCAAAUUGUAACCUUUCUUGUGUUCUCAGAGAGGAGGAAAGAUUUAGUAUAGAAAAAAUGAUCAAGAGACUUAAGAUUUCUGAUAUUCAAUGGUAAGGGAAAAGAUUUGACCUUCUUCCCUAGCAAUAGCAUUGCAGUUUCUUUAUAGAAAGUUGGUCAGUCUUGAUAAAGUUUUACCAUUACUCUUACUGCACUGGCAGUACAAUUGUAUUUUCUUAAUAAUUUCUUUUCCUGCUGCAGUUGAUAUUAUUUCAGCAAUUGAAUUUGAUAAAACUGGGGAUCACCUGGCCACUGGUGACCGUGGGGGCCGGGUUGUUCUCUUUGAGAGGACAGAUACCAAGGAUGUGGGUUUUGCUACCUUCACUGAUGUUAAUAUAUUAACUUAGUGUUUUUCUAUCAUUUCAACUUUAUAGUAACUUUUUUUCUUUUUUCAAUUUAUAGCAUGAUGCACUGAGAAGGGAUUUGGAGAGAAUGGACCACCCAAUUAAUCGGCACCCUGAGUUCCGUUACAAGACAGAGUUCCAAAGCCAUGAGCCUGAGGUGCGCUAUCAUCACAUUUUGAUGCUAUGAUGCACGCACAGUGUCACUUGUUUUACUCUGUGCUCUAUUUUUAUGCAUUGGUUUUUUAUUUUUGUUUUUUACAGUUUGACUAUCUCAAGAGCUUGGAAAUAGAGGAAAAAAUCAACAAAAUCAGAUGGUGCCAAACAGCCAAUGGUGCCCUAUUUCUCCUUUCUACAAAUGAUAAAACCAUCAAGUUUUGGAAGGUAGGAAGGAAACUUUUGCUGCAACUGUUUCUUAACUGUAUGGCUUUCAGUUUGAUUGUAGAUUAUCUACGUGGUCACUUUGUUUGUAAUAAGUAGUGGUUGGUAUUUUAGUAUUGAUGGGGUUUUGCAUCAAGUUAGUUCAUGCAUUUUACUGGAAUAUGUUAUUUAAACUAUGGCAAUGGUACUGGUGCAUGGAUAGAACAGUAUAUGGAAUUCUUUUAUGAAAUGGCUACUUAGGCAAGAUUAAAACAUGCUUGGUAAUGUUUCUCCUUUUUUUUCUAUCUAUAAGCAUAUUCAAUGAUUCAUAUUAUGAUUUCUUGCUCUGCUUUUGCCAUUAUACCCAUUUAUUUCUCUGCGAACUGUCUGUGGGUUCAACAGGUACAAGAAAAGAAGGUCAAAAAAAUUUCUGAAAUGAAUUUGGACCCUCCAAAAGCUGUAGGAAAUGGCUGCGUGGCUAGUUCAAGUAAUUCUAAUAGUCCCACACCUGGUCUUGCAAAUGGAGGUUCCCCUGACAAUGAUUUUUCUUUCCCACCAGGAGGCCUGCCAUCAUUGCGUUUGCCUGUGGUAGUUGUACUCUACGCAAUUAUUUUAAUUAUCCUGUGCUUUAAGUUGUAGGCUGAACUUUGAGUACCUCUUAAGCUAUAUGAAUUCUAUGCUCAAGGCUAGGGAGGAUGGUGAAAAACUUAAUAGAGUUUAAUAGAAGUGCCAAUAAGGUGAUAACCUUCUUUUAUCAUCAGAUUUUUCCUAGGAGUACUUCAACCAUGUAUGGGACCUUUUUUUGGUGGGGAAGGCCCAUGGGACUAAGGGUCAGUUCUUCAUUGCUUAAAAAAAGCACUUUUGACUCCAAAAACACUUUUUGACAGCAAUGCUAAACACUCAAAUUUUAAACUAAAUUUUUCAAAAGCACUUCUCAAAAGCACUUUUCAAAAGCAAUGAAGAACUGGCCCUAAGUAUUCGGCCUUUUUGCUUGAUUUCUUAAAAGCAUGUCCUUCUAGAUAUUUCUGUUAAAUAUAAUGUUGGGAUAUAGAUUCUAUCCUGUUAUAUAUUAUCAUUAGGAAUCUGCCUCUUCUUGUUGUUCACAUCUUUUUGGACAACUGGCCCCUAGCAACCAUAAGUGGCUCAAGUCCUUUGAAGACCACAUUGUUAUUCAGUCUUUUCCUUUUCCUUUUGGCCAGAGAGGAGGGUUAUGAUUUUUUGAUUGAAUAAUCAUGAACCUUUUUUAAUUGUUUUAAUUCUUCUUGAUCUUUUGCUGAGCGCUAAGCUUUAACCUUUAAUCUUUACUAUUUCUAGGUAACUAGUCAGGAAACCAACCUAGUAGCUAGAUGUCGAAGAGUAUAUGCCCAUGCUCAUGAUUAUCACAUCAAUUCCAUUUCAAAUAACAGGUAGCUAUUCUCUUUUGGCUUUGUGCAAUUUUAUUGUGCUUUGCCUUUAUUUGGUUCUAUUUGACAAUUAAUAGAAGAGGAAGUAAGGAAGCAUCUUUUCCUCUUUAUGAUAUAUAUAUUAUAAACCAGGUGUACUAGCUUUUUAUUCUCUGAUUGAAUAAAACCCAUUGACACCUGAGACACUUGAAUGC
rnacentral:lncRNA from 1 species